rnacentral:rRNA from 1 species
UGGGGAAUAUUGCGCAAUGGGGGGAACCCUGACGCAGCCAUGCCGCGUGAAUGAAGAAGGCCUUCGGGUUGUAAAGUUCUUUCGGUAUUGAGGAAGGUUGAUGUGUUAAUAGCACAUCAAAUUGACGUUAAAUACAGAAGAAGCACCGGCUAACUCCGUGCCAGCAGCCGCGGUAAUACGGAGGGUGCGAGCGUUAAUCGGAAUAACUGGGCGUAAAGGGCACGCAGGCGGUUAUUUAAGUGAGGUGUGAAAGCCCCGGGCUUAACCUGGGAAUUGCAUUUCAGACUGGGUAACUAGAGUACUUUAGGGAGGGGUAGAAUUCCACGUGUAGCGGUGAAAUGCGUAAAGAUGUGGAGGAAUACCGAAGGCGAAGGCAGCCCCUUGGGAAUGUACUGACGCUCAUGUGCGAAAGCGUGGGGAGCAAACAGGAUUAGAUACCCUGGUAGUCCACGCUGUAAACGCUGUCGAUUUGGGGGUUGGGGUUUAACUCUGGCGCCCGUAGCUAACGUGAUAAAUCGACCGCCUGGGGAGUACGGCCGCAAGGUUA